rnacentral:rRNA from 1 species
GACGAACGCUGGCGGCGUGCCUAAUACAUGCAAGUAGAACGCACAGUUUAUACCGUAGCUUGCUACACCAUAGACUGUGAGUUGCGAACGGGUGAGUAACGCGUAGGUAACCUGCCUGGUAGCGGGGGAUAACUAUUGGAAACGAUAGCUAAUACCGCAUAAUAUUGAUUAUUGCAUGAUAAUUAAUUGAAAGGUGCAAUUGCACCACUACCAGAUGGACCUGCGUUGUAUUAGCUAGUAGGUGAGGUAACGGCUCACCUAGGCGACGAUACAUAGCCGACCUGAGAGGGUGAUCGGCCACACUGGGACUGAGACACGGCCCAGACUCCUACGGGAGGCAGCAGUAGGGAAUCUUCGGCGAUGGACGAAAGUCUGACCGAGCAACGCCGCGUGAGUGAAGAAGGGUUUCGGAUCGUAAAGCUCUGUUGUAAGAGAAGAACGGGUGUGAGAGUGGAAAGUUCACACUGUGACGGUAUCUUACCAGAAAGGGACGGCUAACUACGUG